UACGUAGGGUGCAAGCGUUAAUCGGAAUUACUGGGCGUAAAGCGUGCGCAGGCGGUUUUGUAAGUCUGACGUGAAAUCCCCGGGCUCAACCUGGGAAUUGCGUUGGAGACUGCAAGGCUAGAAUCUGGCAGAGGGGGGUAGAAUUCCACGUGUAGCAGUGAAAUGCGUAGAGAUGUGGAGGAACACCGAUGGCGAAGGCAGCCCCCUGGGUCAAGAUUCACGCUCAUGCACGAAAGCGUGGGGAGCAAACAGG
rnacentral:rRNA from 1 species